GAUGAAGAACGUAGCGAAAUGCGAUAAGUAGUGUGAAUUGCAGAAGUACCGUGAAUCAUCGAAUCUUUGAACGCAAAUUGCACUCUCUGGUAUUCCGGGGAGUAUGCCUGUUUGAGGGUCGCUUAACAAACCAUCGAUUUCGUUGCUUUUUUUUUAAAAAGUGAUGUUUAUCGGAUUUGAGCCGUCUUUUUUUUUUAUAUUUAAGUGGCUUAAAAUUGAUUUUUUUGGUACGAUCGAAGCGUAUUUUUAUGAUCAAUUUUUGGUUAAAGAAACGCACACGUACCGUUAUUUAUAUGAUGUAAUACGUUUGACUAUUGGAUUUAGUUCAUUCGUAUACGAUAUUUUUCAAUAUUUGACCUCAAAUCAGGUAAGAACACCCGCUGAACUUAAGCAUAUCAUAAGCGGAGGA
rnacentral:misc_RNA from 1 species